rnacentral:tRNA from 1 species
GGUUCUGUGGUGUAAUGGUUAGCACUCUUGGCUCUGAAUCCAGUGAUCCGAAUUCAAAUCUCAAAGGAACCU